ACACAGUUUUCACUAUUCACAAUUUUAAAGUAUAAACUAAAAAAUAAAUCAAUUAAUUACUCUUUUUUUAAUAUAUUCUAUUAAUUUUGUUAUGUGUGGGCCAUCCACCUAAUAAAUUGUAUAUUUAAAUAGUAAUAUUUUAAAAAGUAAUUUUAUUUACAUUUAUAUAAAUAAAUUCAUAAUUCUAAAAUAACAAUAACUUUUACGAAUAUCAAAAUUAUUUACACGCAUAGGAAACAUACCCUUUUAUUUGCUUAUUGGAAAAUGAACGAGUCUAAAGCUUUUUCACAUAUUAUAUGAGAAAAACUUGGAUUUUUUUAAAUUAGAUUCGUUUAAAUCGGAACAUAUUAAGAUGAGUUUCUUAAAUUAGAUUUUUGUUAUGUAUAUAUGUAAGAAUACUUUGUAUGUUGUAACAAAUAGAAUAAUUCAUCUCUUUCCUAAAUUUUUAACUCACUAUCAAUCCAUUUUUAUAAUCCAAGAUGAGGAAAUCCGUUCACCUCUUGUCUACGUUCUUAAUCGUCUUCAUUAUUCUCUCACUAGGAAUGAUGGCAGAUGCGAAAAAACAGUGUCCAUAUAAAAUUCCAAUUAGUAAAAAGUUAUCAUAUUGUGCUGCAACACUAUGUUUGGCUGAUUGUAAGAAGCAACAUGGAGCUGAUGCUAGUGGUAGUUGUUCCGAAGAAAAGGGAUUUUGUAACUGCGUUGCUAACUGUAAGGGUUCUCGCUAAGUGUUGUGAAUAUAAUAAUAUCCAACCAAAGUUUUAUACUAUAUUUUUACUAAUAAAUAUCUAAAUGUUAAAAUGUUUGUCUCAUAUUUGUGGAUCUAUUUAUAAUAAAUAAUAAUAAGAUAAUUAAAUAAAUACAAAUGUGAUUAACAAGAUUGUACUUUAAAUAAAAUAAAUGAUCACAAUAUUAUUAGAUGUA